rnacentral:rRNA from 1 species
ACUCCUACGGGAGGCAGCAGUGGGGAAUAUUGCACAAUGGGCGCAAGCCUGAUGCAGCCAUGCCGCGUGUAUGAAGAAGGCCUCGGUUGUAAAGUACUUCUAGCAGUGAGGAAGGCGGAGUCGUUAAUAGCGGCCUCGUUUGACGUUAGCUGCAGAAGAAGCACCGGCUAACUCCGUGCCAGCAGCCGCGGUAAUACGGAGGGUGCGAGCGUUAAUCGGAAUUACUGGGCGUAAAGCGCAUGCAGGUGGUUUGUUAAGUCAGAUGUGAAAGCCCGGGGGCUCAACCUCGGAAUUGCAUUUGAAACUGGCAGACUAGAGUACUGUAGAGGGGGGUAGAAUUUCCGGUGUAGCGGUGAAAUGCGUAGAGAUCUGAAGGAAUACCGGUGGCGAAGGCGGCCCCCUGGACAGAUACUGACACUCAGAUGCGAAAGCGUGGGGAGCAAACAGGAUUAGAUACCCUGGUAGCACAGGC